rnacentral:rRNA from 1 species
AACGAACGCUGGCGGCAUGCCUAACACAUGCAAGUCGAACGAGACCUUCGGGUCUAGUGGCGCACGGGUGCGUAACGCGUGGGAACCUGCCCUUAGGUUCGGAAUAACUCUCCGAAAGGGGUGCUAAUACCGGAUAAUGUCUUCGGAUCAAAGAUUUAUCGCCUUUGGAUGGGCCCGCGUUGGUUUAGCUAGUUGGUAGGGUAAAAGCCUACCAAGGCGACGAUCCAUAGCUGGUCUGAGAGGAUGAUCAGCCACACUGGGACUGAGACACGGCCCAGACUCCUACGGGAGGCAGCAGUGGGGAAUAUUGGACAAUGGGCGAAAGCCUGAUCCAGCAAUGCCGCGUGAGUGAUGAAGGCCUUAGGGUUGUAAAGCUCUUUUACCCGGGAUGAUAAUGACAGUACCGGGAGAAUAAGCUCCGGCUAACUCCGUG